AUUGAACGCUGGCGGCAGGCCUAACACAUGCAAGUCGAACGGUAACAGGGAUCAGCUUGCUGAUUCGCUGACGAGUGGCGGACGGGUGAGUCAUGUCUGGGAAACUGCCUGAUGGAGGGGGAUAACUACUGGAAACGGUAGCUAAUACCGCAUAACGUCGCAAGACCAAAGAGGGGGACUUUCGGGCCUCUUGCCAUCGGAUGUGCCCAGAUGGGAUUAGCUAGUAGGUGGGGUAACGGCUCACCUAGGCGACGAUCCCUAGCUGGUCUGAGAGGAUGACCAGCCACACUGGAACUGAGACACGGUCCAGACUCCUACGGGAGGCAGCAGUGGGGAAUAUUGCACAAUGGGCGCAAGCCUGAUGCAGCCAUGCCGCGUGUAUGAAGAAGGCCUUCGGGUUGUAAAGUACUUUCAGCGGGGAGGAAGGGAGUAAAGUUAAUACCUUUGCUCAUUGACGUUACCCGCAGAAGAAGCACCGGCUAACUCCGUG
rnacentral:rRNA from 1 species